GACAGAGGGUGCAAACGUUGUUCGGAAUUACUGGGCGUAAAGCGCGUGUAGGCGGUCUGGUAAGUCGGGUGUGAAAGCCCGGGGCUCAACCCCGGAAGUGCAUUCGAUACUACCAAACUAGAGUACUGGAGAGGAUGGUGGAACUCUCGGUGUAGAGGUGAAAUUCGUAGAUAUCGAGAAGAACACCGGUGGCGAAGGCGGCCAUCUGGACAGAUACUGACGCUGAGACGCGAAAGCGUGGGGAGCAAACAGG
rnacentral:rRNA from 2 species